rnacentral:rRNA from 1 species
GACCGAUAGUGAACCAGUACCGUGAGGGAAAGGUGAAAAGAAUCCUGAACAAGGAAGUAAAAAGAACCUGAAACCAUACGCUUACAAGCGGUCGGAGUCAAUUUAUUUGAUGACGGCGUGCCUUUUGCAUAAUGAGCCUACGAGUUACUGUUGUUGGCAAGGUUAAAUGAUUAAGUCAUGCAGCCGGAGCGAAAGCGAGUCUUAACAGGGCGCUUAGUCAGCAGUAGUAGACGCGAAACUUUGUGAUCUACCCAUGAGCAGGGUGAAGUGUAGGUAACACUACAUGGAGGCCCGAACCAGUAAACGUUGAAAAGUUUUUGGAUGACUUGUGGGUAGGGGUGAAAGGCCAAUCAAACUGAGAGAUAGCUCGUACUCCCCGAAAUGCUUUUAGGAGCAGCGUAUGGGUGAGUUUAUUAGAGGUAGAGCUACCAAUUGGACUAGGGGGAGUCAAAUCCUACCAAAUCCAGAUGAACUCCGAAUGCUAAUAAAUAUACCAUACAGUGAGGGUUGGGGUGCUAAGGUCCCAAUCCGAGAGGGAAAGAACCCAGACCUACAGCUAAGGUCCCAAAAUCUAUACUAAGUUGAACUAAGGGGGUCCAGUUGCUUAGACAGCCAGGAUGUUGGCUUGGAAGCAGCCAUUCAUUUAAAGAGUGCGUAACAGCUCACUGGUCGAGCGACAGGGCAUCGAUAAUAAUCGGGCAUCAAGUAUAGUACCGAAGCUUAGGGUGUAUUUAUACACGGUAGGGGAGCAUUCUCUUUGCAGAGAAGGUGUGCUGUGAGGCAUGCUGGAGCGUAGAGAAGCGCAAAUGUAGGCAUAAGUAACGAUAAUGCGGGCGAGAAACCCGCACACCGAUAGACCAAGGUUUCCCCGGCAAUGCUAAUCAGCCGGGGGUUAGUCAGGACCUAAGGCGAACCCGAAGGGGGUAGUCGAUGGCCAACGGGUUAAUAUUCCCGUACCACCUUUAUUUUCGAUGGGGUGACGGAGUAGUGAAAGCACCGCGUACUGACGGAAUAGUACGUUGAAGGGUGUAGGUAUUGGCUGAGUAGGAAAAUCCGCUCGGCUAGCUGAACCUGAUAGUACCACAAUGCUACGGCAGCGUGGAUAGUGUGCCUAAACAGACUUCCAAGAAAAACCUCUAAGGUUAGGAUAAAGGUGCCUGUACCGGAAACCGACACAGGUAGUCAAGGAGAGAAUCCUGAGGUGCUCGAGUGAUUCAUGGCUAAGGAACUAGGCAAAAUGGCCCUGUAACUUCGGGAGAAGGGGCCCCCCCAAGCGAUUGGGGGGCGCAGUGAAAAGGCCCAGGCGACUGUUUAUCAAAAACACAUGGCUUUGCGAAAUUGAAAGAUGAUGUAUAAGGCCUGACACCUGCCCGGUGCUGGAAGGUUAAGGAAGGGGGUUAGACUUCGGUCGAAGCUCUUAACUGAAGCCCCAGUAAACGGCGGCCGUAACUAUAACGGUCCUAAGGUAGCGAAAUUCCUUGUCGGGUA